UGCUGAAUGAAGAGCAGAUGCCCUGAGCAUCUCUGAGCCGUGGGGCUGAGCUGCAGCCACCCACCUGGGACCAGCAGCGCAGGAAGAGCUGACACAAGCUGGCAAGGACAGAAGCAACCUCUCCUUCUCACUCCUUAUCCAACCAGAGCAUGUGCAAAUUCAGAGACUCUUUGACAACGUGAACCCAGACUGGAACAUGGCAGAACCUUGGUGCUGUUUUGUAUUCCUCCCUGCUCGGUCCUUAUGGAGUGAGCCCACCCCACAGCGAGGCCCUGUGGUGAGCAGCGUGCAUGAUGCAUGCGUGAGUGCCUGUAGUUUAAAGGAUGACUGCACAGGGAUGCUCCCUGUGCGAUUAUAUAGAUGUACCCUAUGCCUACAGUUCAAAACUGAAAAAACUCCAGGAAAAUGUAAGUCCUCUCUCAAGAAAUUUGAGGACAGGCACAGGGAGGUUACAGAGAAGGAGGGUGAGACUGGCUGCAGGCAAUAAGAUUCAGCAGGAUGGAAGGAAGGUGUGAUGUGGCAAGGUGACAGAGUUGCUCACCUGAUGGUAAUUCCAGCCUUGUGUUUGUGCCUGGAAAUAGUGUUCACAGGGGGUGUGAAUAAAGCUGAGAUUCUGUCCCACCUCUGCACACAAGUUUCCUGCUAGUGGAUUCACCAUGGGACCAGAGCAGGACCAAGUAUUCCUACAACACUUAUCCUUGAGCAGCUUGUGUUUGAAAAGGAGCUCCAGCCCUGUGUGACCAUGGUAGCACCGGACUGGCAUGGUUAGACCUCUAGUGUCUGGGAGAAGGAGAAAGGGUGCAGCACUGCAUGCACACAGCUUGCCUGUAAUGCUGAGCAGGGCCUGAUGGUUCCAGCUAGCCUGCUCCAUUGCAUGGAGGAUGUCAGCAUCAAUUUUU